UUGACGGGGGCCCGCACAAGCGGAGGAACAUGUGGUUUAAUUCGAUGAUACGCGAGGAACCUUACCUGGGCUUAAAUGGGGAGUGACAGCUGUCGAAAGAUGGUUUUCUUCGGACACUCUUCAAGGUGCUGCAUGGUUGUCGUCAGCUCGUGCCGUGAGGUGUCGGGUUAAGUCCCAUAACGAGCGCAACCCUUACCGUUAGUUACCAUCAGGUUAAGCUGGGGACUCUAGCGGGACUGCCACCGUAAGGUGAGAGGAAGGUGGGGAUGACGUCAAAUCAGCACGGCCCUUAUGUCCAGGGCUACACACGUGUUACAAUGGCCGGUACAAAGGGCAGCUACUUCGCGAGAAGAUGCUAAUCUCGAAAGCCGGUCUCAGUUCGGAUCGAAGUCUGCAACCCGACUUCGUGAAGCUGGAUUCGCUAGUAAUCGCGCAUCAGCCAUGGCGCGGUGAAUACGUUCCCGGGCCUU
rnacentral:rRNA from 1 species